CGUAGCGUAAAUAAAUAGACUUAAUAAUAAAGCUAACAAAUGCAUUUGUAAUUGAUUAGAAUAACUUUACCAUUAUUGGUAUAGAUUAUAAGACCUUAGGUAUUCUUAAUAUUGCGCGAUAUAAAAACAUUUGCCCUAAUUUUUCAGGUCAUUUGGACGAAGAAGAAGGUCAUUACCAAUGGAUAGAGGGUCUGGCGAUCUUAAUAUCUGUUAUAGUUAUCGUCAUAGUCACAGCAUUCAACGAUUACACGAAAGAAAGACAAUUCAGAGGGCUUCAAUCGAGGAUAGAGGGCGAGCACAAGUUCGCAGUCAUCCGUGGCGGUGAGGUGAAGCAGGUGCCUAUCAGCGAGAUCGUGGUGGGCGACAUUUGUCAGAUCAAGUAUGGAGAUCUGUUGCCUGCUGACGGUGUGCUGCUGCAGAGUAACGACCUCAAGGUCGAUGAGUCCUCACUUACGGGAGAGUCGGACCAUGUCAUGAAAGG